GACGUAGGGCGCGAGCGUUGUCCGGAUUUAUUGGGCGUAAAGAGCUCGUAGGCGGUUUGUCACGUCUGCUGUGAAAACUGGAGGCUCAACCUCCAGCCUGCAGUGGGUACGGGCAGACUAGAGUGCGGUAGGGGAGAUUGGAAUUCCUGGUGUAGCGGUGGAAUGCGCAGAUAUCAGGAGGAACUCCGAUGGCGAAGGCAGAUCUCUGGGCCGUAACUGACGCUGAGGAGCGAAAGCAUGGGGAGCGAACAGG
rnacentral:rRNA from 1 species